UUCUUCAGGGCGGGGUGCAAUUCCCCACCGGCGGUAAAGUCCGCGAACGCCUUGUGCGCCGAAUCGGUGAAAUUCCGGUACCGACAGUAUAGUCUGGAUGGAAGAAGA
rnacentral:ncRNA from 1 species